rnacentral:ribozyme from 16 species
GCGUGGAAAAAUAAACACACACACACAAAGACCAAAAAAAAGCCAAAAAAGCACCCCUGAAUAGGCCACAAGUUUCUAUAUUUCCAGGUUU